UAAGACAUGCAAAACGAGCGAACAGAUGCGCGCAAGCUCCGAGAUGCCAUCCGCGGUUGGGCGAGUAAUACGUGGGUAACCUGCCUGUAAGACUGGGAUAACUCCGGGAAACCGGGGUUAAUACCGGAUGGUUGUUUGAACCGCAUGGUUCAGACAUAAAAGGUGGCUUCGGCUACCACUUACAGAUGGACCCGCGGCGCAUUAGCUAGUUGGUGAGGUAACGGCUCACCAAGGCAACGAUGCGUAGCCGACCUGAGAGGGUGAUCGGCCACACUGGGACUGAGACACGGCCCAGACUCCUACGGGAGGCAGCAGUAGGGAAUCUUCCGCAAUGGACGAAAGUCUGACGGAGCAACGCCGCGUGAGUGAUGAAGGUUUUCGGAUCGUAAAGCUCUGUUGUUAGGGAAGAACAAGUGCCGUUCAAAUAGGGCGGCACCUUGACGGUACCUAACCAGAAAGCCACGGCUAACUACGUGCCAGCAGCCGCGGUAAUACGUAGGUGGCAAGCGUUGUCCGGAAUUAUUGGGCGUAAAGGGCUCGCAGGCGGUUUCUUAAGUCUGAUGUGAAAGCCCCCGGCUCAACCGGGGAGGGUCAUUGGAAACUGGGGAACUUGAGUGCAGAAGAGGAGAGUGGAAUUCCACGUGUAGCGGUGAAAUGCGUAGAGAUGUGGAGGAACACCAGUGGCGAAGGCGACUCUCUGGUCUGUAACUGACGCUGAGGAGCGAAAGCGUGGGGAGCGAACAGGAUUAGAUACCCUGGUAGUCCACGCCGUAAACGAUGAGUGCUAAGUGUUAGGGGGUUUCCGCCCCUUAGUGCUGCAGCUAACGCAUUAAGCACUCCGCCUGGGGAGUACGGUCGCAAGACUGAAACUCAAAGGAAUUGACGGGGGCCCGCACAAGCGGUGGAGCAUGUGGUUUAAUUCGAAGCAACGCGAAGAACCUUACCAGGUCUUGACAUCCUCUGACAAUCCUAGAGAUAGGACGUCCCCUUCGGGGGCAGAGUGACAGGUGGUGCAUGGUUGUCGUCAGCUCGUGUCGUGAGAUGUUGGGUUAAGUCCCGCAACGAGCGCAACCCUUGAUCUUAGUUGCCAGCAUUCAGUUGGGCACUCUAAGGUGACUGCCGGUGACAAACCGGAGGAAGGUGGGGAUGACGUCAAAUCAUCAUGCCCCUUAUGACCUGGGCUACACACGUGCUACAAUGGACAGAACAAAGGGCAGCGAAACCGCGAGGUUAAGCCAAUCCCACAAAUCUGUUCUCAGUUCGGAUCGCAGUCUGCAACUCGACUGCGUGAAGCUGGAAUCGCUAGUAAUCGCGGAUCAGCAUGCCGCGGUGAAUACGUUCUCUGGCCUUGAACACA
rnacentral:rRNA from 1 species